ensembl:lncRNA
CUCGGCCUGGGGCUCAGUCACUCAGGCACGGCUGGCUGCCGGCGGAGCUCACGGGUGCGUCACUGCAACUCCCCCUGGCUUCUGCUCCGCGGCUGCUGAGUGAGCCCUCAUCUGGGACUGUCCUCAGCUCUUUCCGGGACAGUGGCGCAGCUGCCCCUCUGUUGGUCUUCCUUGGUCUCUUGUGUUCUGGGGGCCUCUGGAUGUCUGGAGUUUUGAUCUCCUCCAUACCUGCUUCAUGCCCUGGAGGACGGGGCUGUGGCCCCCCCACACCCUCUAGCAGAUCAUUACAUGAAGGAACCUUUUAAAAAACAAAAAACAAACGCGUCCAUGCUCACAGGUGUACACACGGGUGAUCACACCCACAAACUACACCCUUUUUGGCUCCUACCUCAAAGCACACUGUGUUCUGUUGAUCUUAUGUGCUGCACAAUAAUGUUUAAUAUUUAGUAUUCCCAUAUAUCAUUGUGAUGUUGUUUAUUCUAUUACUCUUGUUCUCUUCUGCUUGUUUUCUUUUUUCUUUCUCAGCAGGUGACCCAGGUGAUUGAUAUAUGCAUUUUUUUUCUUUUUUUCUUCUUUUUUUUUCUUUUUCUGCUCAUUCUGUUGGUUUUUGGUUUUUGCCCUUCUCCGCCGUCCCUCUUCUCAGCUGUUUCUCUUUCCCUCUUUCUUUCUCCCCUUCUUUCCCCCAGUCAAGUCUGUCCCAUAUUCAGAAAAUAAAAUGGGGGCCUCUGGAUGUCUGGAGUUUUGAUCUCCUCCAUACCUGCUUCAUGCCCUGGAGGACGGGGUUGUGGCCCCCCCACACCCUCUAGCAGAUCAUUACAUGAAGGAACCUUUUAAAAAAACAAAAAACAAACGCGUCCAUGCUCACAGGUGUACACACGGGUGAAAAUAAAAUAAACAAUAAAAGGUGAAUCAAAUGGACCAUUAUGGCAAGGCUGGGAUGGUCAAUUUGGUAAAGUAAAUCCGUUGGGCAUCUUUCUUUGCCUUUAGACAACAAUUCUGACGGCAAAAGAGCCAAACGGGACAGGCAAAAAAAAAAAAAAAAAAAAAAGAGAAUCAGAAUCAGAAUACUUUAUUAAUCCCGAAGGAAAUUAGGACUUUGGUGGUUUUAGUGCGCAGGAAGAAGAAAGAUGACUGACUUUUCUUCUUGUUAAAGCCGUGUUACUGCACCUGAGUUAAAAGGUAGGCUGAAUCUAUAUUUCUGGUGUGCUUUAGGUAAUUGUUGUACACUACAUUUGUUACUCGUUUAUAAAGCACAGUACUUGUUUCGCACUUGUAAUUACCGGUACUUAUACGUAAAAAGUUAUGCAAAUAUGUACCGGUAACUUGUUUUUCAAAAUAUUAAUAAAAAGGGAUGUGUUCCCAAAAUCUACCUAUUCGGAACCAUGAUAACAGGGGUCUUGCUGAUCGGAGCUGGCUUGGCCCUGGCUUAUCGUGAAUUAAGAAAGCGGAACCGGCUGUUCAAAUCCCCCCAAGGCUGCCCCCUGGGAUUGAAACGAUGGGAC